UAAGGUAAAUUUUAAAACAUA
rnacentral:piRNA from 1 species